rnacentral:ncRNA from 1 species
GUGAAAUCAAUGACCGGGGGUAGUAUAUAAAGCUUUUCCCUACAGAGAGUCUGCGGUUGGUGGGAGCAGGCAGGUAAGCUUUAUGGAAUGGGCCCGGGAGAGCAGCCCGAAGUUGAGUAGGAGCUGACGGAGUUUUCCGCCGUUACAGGGAAACGGAUAUGUUGGUAUCUGUAUGUAAGAGGCUUGCUUUCCAGCAAGCAAUUUGGGUGGCACCGCAGGUAAAUUCCUGUCCCAUUA